CCUGUUGAGCUCAGCUGGGAGAGCGCCUGCCUUGCACGCAGGAGGUCAGCGGUUCGAUCCCGCUUAGCUCCACCA
rnacentral:tRNA from 1 species